GGGCGAGGAAAAGACAUCAACCGAGAUUCCGCUAGUAGUGGCGAGCGAACGCGGAGGAGGCCAAACCAAGAGUAGUAAUACUUUUGGGGUACGGACUGCAUACGGUAUUGACAAAGGCUAGUAGAAUGAGAUGGGAAGCUCAACCAUAGAACGUGAGAGUCGUGUAAACGAAAGCGUGAGUCAGCCAGCAGGAUCCAGAGUACCGCCGGACACGUGAAACCCGGUGGGAAUACGGGGGGACCACCCUCCAAGCCUAAAUACUCUCCAAUGACCGAUAGUGAAUAGUACUGUGAAGGAAAGGUGAAAAGAACCCCUGGCGGGGAGUGAAAUAGAACCUGAAACCUUGUGCCUACAAGCACAUAGAGCACAUCAACGUGUGAUAUGGUACCUUUUGUAGAAUGGUCCGGCGAGUGAAUGUCACUAGCGAGGUUAAGGACUUAAGGUCUGUAGCCGAAGCGAAAGCGAGUCUUAAUAGGGCGAUUUUAGUUAGUGGUAUUCGACCCGAAACCGAGUGACCUAGCCAUGAGCAGGCUGAAGUGGAGGUAAAACUCCAUGGAGGGCCGAACCCACUCCCGUUGAAAUGGUAGGGGAUGACUUGUGGCUAGCGGAGAAAUUCCAAUCGAACUCGGAGAUAGCUGGUUCUCUCCGAAAUAGCUUUAGGGCUAGCCUCAAUAUACAUUACUGCAGGUAAAGCACUGAAUGGGCUAGGGGGCGAAAGCUUACUGAACCCUAUCAAACUAAGAAUGGCAGAUAAUGAAAUAUUGGGAGUCACACUGCGUGAGAUAAGUUUCGUGGUGGAAAGGGAAACAGCCCAGACCCACAGCUAAGGUCCCAAAGUACGGUUAAGUGGAAAAGGAUGUGGAAUUGCACAGACAACCAGGAUGUUGGCUCAGAAGCAGCCAUUCAUUCAAAGAGUGCGUAAUAGCUCACUGGUCGAGUGACUCUGCGCCGAAGAUUUAACGGGGCUAAAUCGUACACCGAAGCUUGGGAAUAUGCAUUUAUGUAUGUUGGUAGGAGAGCGUCGUAUGCGGGGUGAAGUCAUAGCGUAAGCGGUGGUGGACUGCAUAGGAGUGAGAAUGCCGGAAUGAGUAGCGAGAAUUAUGUGAGAAUCAUAAUGGCCGAAAGACUAAGGUUUUAGAAGGAAGGUUCGUCCGCUUCUAGUUAGCCGGGGGCUAAGGCGAGGCCGAGAGGCGUAGUCGAUGCACAUACGGUUGAGAUUCCGUAGCCACCUACGAUUUAAACUAAAGGACACAUCAAAAGGGCAUGACCCGGGCGUUGGUUGACCCGGGCGUAAGGGACCGAAAAUAAGUAGGGAAGCAUGCUUGGCUGGUGGCGAGAAAAGUUUAGUGUAUAUAAUGUAGGUGCCCGUACUGUAAACCGACACAGGUAGUCAGGAAGAGAAUUCUAAGGCCAUCGGGAGAAGCGUUGUUAAGGAACUCGGCAAAUUGACCCCGUAACUUCGGAAUAAGGGUUGCUCACGAGAGUGAGCCGCAGUGAAAAGGUCCAGGCAACUGUUUAUCAAAAACACAGCUCUCUGCUAAAUCGUAAGAUGACGUAUAGGGGGUGACACCUGCCCGGUGCUGGAAGGUUAAGAGGAGGGGUGCAAGCUCCGAAUUGAAGCCCCAGUAAACGGCGGCCGUAACUAUAACGGUCCUAAGGUAGCGAAAUUCCUUGUCGGGUAAGUUCCGACCCGCACGAAUGGUGUAAUGAUCUGGACACUGUCUCAACAACGCACCCGGCGAAAUUGUAGUACCGGUGAAGAUGCCGGUUACCCGCGGCAAGACGGAAAGACCCCAUGGAGCUUUACUGUAGCUUAGUAUUGGGUCUCGGUAUUUUAUGUACAGGAUAGGCGGGAGACUAGGAAGCAAGUACGCCAGUAUUUGCGGAGUCAUCCUUGGGAUACCGCUCUUAAAGUAUUGAGAUUCUAACCUGCGGCCUUGAAUCAGGUCGGGGGACAUUGCUAGGUGGGCAGUUUGACUGGGGCGGUCGCCUCCAAAAGAGUAACGGAGGCGUUCAAAGG
rnacentral:rRNA from 1 species